UACGUAGGCAGCGAGCGUUGUUCGGAGUUACUGGGCGUAAAGGGUGUGUAGGCGGUUGUUUAAGUUUGGUGUGAAAUCUCCCGGCUCAACUGGGAGGGUGCGCCGAAUACUGAAUGACUUGGAGUGCGGGAGAGGAAAGUGGAAUUCCUGGUGUAGCGGUGAAAUGCGUAGAGAUCGUAAGGAAGGCCAGUGGCGAAGGCGAGUUCCUGGACAGUUACUGACGCUGAGGCACGAAGGCCAGGGGAGCAAACGGG
rnacentral:rRNA from 1 species